UCAAGGUGAACGACGCGAAAGCAUGGUUCCGCCAGGGGCUUCGCUAUCCAAAAACGGUGCACCGCCAGUUCCCAUGGACUGCUGCUGGUCAGUGCCAAUACUUUCCGCUUGCGCGAGCCUGCUCUUCACGAUGCCCGACACCAACGGUGGUUUGCUCUACGUCCUCUUCAUGGAAAGGUUUGGCGUCAGCAGAGAGAUAGCCUCUUGGCCUCAUACCAUCGCUACGCUGAUGACAAAUUUCAUGGGCUUUGUGAUCGGCGCCGUUCAGCGUAAGAUUUCUGUCUACACUAUGCUACUGUUUGGAUCAGUGCUGUGCCCCGCUGCUGUCAUCGCAUCUGCAUUUGUUCCAAACAUGACGUGGAUGAUGGUUACCUUGGGCUGUCU
rnacentral:misc_RNA from 1 species